rnacentral:rRNA from 1 species
AUGCUUGUUUCGACCAUUGGAAUUUUCAAAGACCACCGCCGCAAGAACAUGUCACUGGAGGCUCAAGAUACAAGGCCCAGCUGGAAGAGACAUCUUCCCACGGGCUGGUUAUCCAAUUCUAAAAGAGGAGCUUGCUAUGGCCAUCCAGGGUCCAGGGCGAUUACAUACGCGGCGAAUGCAGAUGCAUAUGGUAAGCUCCGUGUCGACAUGACGAACCAGUACCAGUUGGGAGCCCGGAUGAAGAAGGCUGCCGAUGGGAGAAAGAGGAGAAGCGAUGGGAUGUUUAUGGCAGCUUAUGGAUGA